rnacentral:rRNA from 1 species
UGGGGAAUUUUGCGCAAUGGGCGAAAGCCUGACGCAGCAACGCCGCGUGAGUGAUGAAGGCUUUCGGGUCGUAAAGCUCUGUCAGGGGGAAAGAAGUGUAUUGUGGCUAAUAUCCACGAUACUUGACGGUACCCUCAAAG